CAAUUGCUGAUGCUCCAGAUACUCAACUAGUCUCAAGAAGGUGGGACAAUGAAACUGAUGGACGAAGUGGCUGGAAUCGUGGCAUUCCGACACUGCAAGACCAACAUAGUCACCACCUCUGUGGAUGCCAUCAACUUCCAUCGCAAGAUCAUGAAAGCUUGAAGGAAAGGAGGAGCAGAGGUGUUUCGAGGAGGGCAAAGCGCGGUACCUCCAGAUCAAGGCAAAGAGACUGGCAGAGAAGGAGCGCACACAAUGACACCACCCAUCCUUAUCCCACCAGAAGGCCUUGGAAUAACGGCAAUACCCAGGAAAACCCGGAAUACAAUAGUGCCAAUCAACCCACAGCACAAUCGAAGGAACAUUUCCCUAAACUCUGUCUUCACAAAAAUAGACAGGGUUUGACUUGAAAUAAUGUAUGACUUGAAAAAAUGCUUCAUCAUCUUGACUUUUUAAAUGUGAGUUUCAUUGCUGCACAUCAAAGUGUCUAUACUGUAAAUUGCUUUGGAAUAAAGCGCCUACUAAAUGGCAAAUUGUAUAUUAUUGAAGAGUUUUAUUUAAGAAGACUAUCGACGAUCACUCUGUGUGCGAAACGAUGGGUCUGUAUAUGCACCAAUAAAUCAAUUAAAAGUAAA